AAGUAAAAUCGAUAACUGUCACUGUUUUUGUUCACUGUUUGAAACAGUGAAUGCUCGUUUACAUAAACCUUUAUUAUUGGCGCGUUUACCUCUCGUUAGCACCGUGUGUAAAUCAGGAAGUUCAGGCAACGUUAUAUCAGGCAGAUAUCAAUGCGGUGGUAUGAUAAAAUAAUAUAACCGCAUGAGUUGUUCAUGUACCUGUGUUACCGCCACAAGUUCGAUCAAGUGCGGCCUCUUUUGCCACCGAAAGGUCAGCACCGCUGUCAUGUUCUUCACCUAGAACAGAAUUUACAAUAAUUCAAGAACAUCUCAAUAUAUAAAUGAGGGUUUUACCGACUUAAUUAAAACGUCAAUGACAACCAACAAGAAGAAAACCACAAUGAGGACCAUCGUACGGCAGCAGGGAAAACAUCAUGCAGCGUUGUGAAUUCUACUCGGAGCCAAUUGAUUCGCAUGUACUAUCUGACAGUGGCAGCAUGGGUGAAGACUGGCUGCAGAAACGGAAUAUCUAGGUGGACCUGGAGAGUGUGCCUGAUGAUGAGCUAGCGCAAAUACUUCGAAAUUUCUAUGCGGAGAUUCGCACGAAUGAUGGCAAAAUGUAUUCUCCGGGAACCCUGCGUGGUAUAAAGGCAGGCAUUCAAAGGACCAUUGCUGGAAACCCAUACAGCAGGGCAGUUAACAUUCUAACAGGAACGGCAUCCAUGCAAUCAAAAUAAAACAAACCAAUCAGCAUACCGAAAAUAUCACUCUACAGAAACCGCAUUGAUGAAGAUUCAAAACGACAUUCUAAGAUCUUUGGAUAAGCACGAUGUCACAAUUCUUGUCAUGCUUGAAUUAUCCGCAGCGGUUGACAUCAUCGAUCAUGAUACUUUAGUAACCCUUUUUAAACCACUGUUCAACAUAGGUGGAAACCGUUAGAAUUGAUAACAUCAUGCCUAAGUGAUAGAUACCAAACAGUUACAAUUGAUGGAAAUUUGUCAGAACCAGUGCUAAUGGAAUCCAGUGUACCGCAAGGGUCUGUGUUGGGUCCGAAAUUCUUCACAAUGUUUACCAAACCAGUAGGUCAGAUAUGCAAGAAACAUGGUCUGAAAUAUCAUUGCCGACGAUGGACAAUAAUAUAUGUUGUUUGAACCAAGUGACCAUAUGUCAAAAGCGGAAAUCUUAAAUCUUGCUGAACUUGGUCUGACGGAUAUUGUAUGCUGGUCCAUGCUGGAUGAACCAACAUAUGCUGAAGAUAAAUGCAGAUAAGACCGAAGUCAUUAUAUUCUCCUCCAAACAAAAUUAAACACACAUCCAAGAUAUAACUGUACAAAAUGGAAGCGGAGAAAUUAAAACAUCUGGCUGUGUUAGAAACCUUGGUGCAUUUAUGGACUCUGAAUUAAAUAUGGUAAAACAUGUCAACUCAAUUUCAAUAUCAUGUUUCUCACAAAUACGACAGAGCAGCCACAUCAGAAAUAUAUGUCAAAAGACGCAACAAAGUCCCUGGUCAACUCCCUUGUCACAUCACGCAUGGACUACUGCAACUCCCUCCUCUAUGGGUUACCAACGACAACACUAAUCAAACUUAAGAAGGUGCAAAACACAGCAGCACAUAUUAUAUCAAGAACUCGUGAUCAUAAAAAAUAAUAUUUUUUACUCGUGGCUUCGCCACUCGUGAACAUAUAUUGUCUAUGAUCACUCGUGAAAUAACAAACGAUCACUGACAUGAGCAAAUAUCCUCUAUGUGAUAUUACCGGUAGUUUGUUUUUUAUGAGUGUUGAUUUCUGUGAUUUUUUUUUCCAAAUGUUUGAUAUUUUUUUUUAGUUAUGCCAGUCCUAAGCCGUUUCUGAGCAACUGUUGUAUUUUAAAUUUCAUGGAACUUGCAUUUAAUCUGUAUCAUCGUAUUACGGUGGUACAAUUGUAAAUUUUGUCAUGAUCGACUUAAUAAUAACUUUAAAAUUAUAGCCCCUACAUUAAUUGAAAUUAAUUAGGGAUGUUAUCUGACCGGAGCUGUUUCUAAGUUACUUUAGCAAGGAAUUUCACCAAAUUUAAAAAUAAUUGUAUAUACAAAAUUUGUGUGUGAAUCGACUUGGUAACUGUAGUGUUAUUGUCCCCUUAAUUGAGCAAUUUUGUCCAUCCUGAGCUGUUUCUCAAUAACUUGCAUGUAAUCACUGGAAGCUGAAAAGUACAUUUGUAUUAUAAUAUAACUGCAGUAGCGCAUGAUGAUUUAUUAGGAUCAACAAAGUAACUCCCGAGUUGUGACACCCUCCACUUGUAAACAUGUAGAUUUGUUAUCCCCCGCCAUUGGCAUAGACAUAUUGUCUGUUAUUUGAACAACUAAGUUUUCUUUGUAGAUUUAUUAUCCCCCGCCAUUGGCAUAGACAUAUUGUCUGUUAUUUGAACGACUAAGUUUUCUUUGUGUAUUCGAGGACCUAUGCUAUCUAUCUUUGGUCACUAGAUGCGCUUUUUAGAUAGAAUUUUCUUCUGUGUCUUCUCACCGAUGAAUAAAAUCGAAUACACCAGGAUUAAACGAGUUUUUAAGCAAACACGAGAAACUGGAUAAGCAUCAGUUAUUUAAUACAUUCAUAGAUAAAUGAAAUAGGUAAAUACCUGUAUAUCAAUCAAGUUUUGAAAUAAGUAUUAUAUGUUACCCAUUGAGACUUCUGUCCUCUUUGAGUUCUUCUUAGUGGAUUCAAUGAAGUUAUUAUGAGCUUUGUUGAUAACUCCAUUCUUCGACGACUUUCCAAGCAUAAAUGGGGAACUGAAUAAGCAGCAGUUUUCUCAUGCAUGCAGUGAUAAAGGCAAUGAAUAUUUCAAUCCACUUUUCAAAUUAUACCAUCUGUACUCUCUUGCCAACAGCUUUAUUGUAUUGGCAACGUCAAUAAAAUUAAGGUUAUUUACUCAACACUUUCAAAAGACUAUGCUGUAAAUGUAAGUGUUUAUGUACCUUCAACGUUCCUGCUGUAUGCUUGAAAUACUUCAGUAACAAAUGUUGCAAGUAUUAAUAUUUAGAAAAUUUAGUUUGAACGAAAUAAGAUAGACCUGUACGUAAGAAUUAUCUAUGAAAACAAUGACUUAUUCUGACGGUAUAUUUAUCCGUCACGACCAGUAAAUUCCAAAAUAAUUCCUCAUUUCUUACUUCGUGCAGCUGCAUUUCAAGUUUGCAUUAAUCCACUGUUUAAACACAAUUUCAAUCGAAAACUGCCUAUACUCGUCUUUCCAAUAGACCAGAAUGCCGUGAAACUGAUGACUUUCGCAACGUAAUUCCGUUACUGUCGUUGUAAAACGAAUUGUCAAUCCAUCAUUUUAGGUAAGUCUAUCAAUUAUCGUUUAAAAAUAUUCAAAAUAACUGUUGGAUGUGUUUGCAUUUUGUUUUCAAUAUAUUUAAUAUUGAUGUUUAUGUGUUGUAAACCGUAUGAACAAGUUUUUGAAAUACACAUUAAACACUUGUUACGGUGGUUUGGGUAAAGUGUAUUGAUGUAGAUUAGUUGAAAAAUAGAAUUGUGUGGAGAUAUUAACUAUUUUAGCAAUACGGCCGUAAGAUCCAUUUAUAAAUAUUGGAUGAUAUUUUAGGAAUUUAUCACAUUUUACAUGCUGGGUUAUAUUGUAUGGUCAACAACACUGUCAUGUAAUGCUACUGGGUAUACAAUGUAAUUAUUGUCGCUGUCAAGCUAAUCUUGUUAUUUCCAUGCACUUAAAGACACUUGUGUAGUAAGAUAAUGAUACCAAAUAUUACAGUUCAUAUGACUACACUGUCAAAAGUAAAGUUUUUAUUUAUAUAAUAGAAUUUUCAAUUUCAAGAUAUUAGAUGCCAUAUGAACUAUUAUUUGAGUGGCUACUAUUUCACCUGAGAAGAUUCAACAUGUCAGACAGGCCUUCUCGUGUGCACCACAACUUAGGACAUCGAAUGGCUAAACGAGUCCGAUAACCAUGGUAUUAAUAUGUUCAUAUACUCCGAAGAAAUACGUAGCCUAGAAAACGCCUUUUCUUGGACAUGAUUUUACAUGAUGUUAUAAAGAGUGUGCCUUUCCUUCCAAAGCUUAGUUCAUUAGGCUGCUCAGCAUAUUUUGUUUGCAGUACUUACUCAUUCUCUUUUUGUUUGUUUACACAGGCUUAUCUAUCUCAUAAUCUUGAAUUUUGUAACAAUCUUUAUUAUUUUAAUAUAUAUGAUUAUGCAAAUUAUCUGUGCAACAAGGAAGCAAUUUUAACCAGAAAUAUAAUUAUAGUCAUUUAAAUUCAAAUUGGAUGUUUUGCUUUAUUUAGCAUUAAAUAAUUCUAUGGUUGUACAUCAUAUACAUUAAUUCUUUAUGUAACAAUUAUUUGCUUGGUUGUCAGUAUUAAUGUGUUGUGAAAUGUGUAUUUACUUAUUUUUUUUUUUUUUAUGU